rnacentral:rRNA from 1 species
CACGUAGGGGGCAAGCGUUGUCCGGAUUUAUUGGGCGUAAAGAGCUCGUAGGUGGUUCGGUAAGUCGGGUGUGAAACCUCCAGGCUCAACCUGGAGACGCCACCCGAUACUGCUGUGACUGGAGUCCGGUAGGGGAGCGUGGAAUUCCUGGUGUAGCGGUGAAAUGCGCGGAUAUCAGGAGGAACACCAGCGGCGAAGGCGGCGCUCUGGGCCGGUACUGACACUGAGGAGCGAAAGCGUGGGUAGCAAACAGG